UACGAAGGGGGCGAGCGUUAUUCGGAAUCACUGGGCGUAAAGCGUGCGUAGGCUGUUCUACAAGUUGGAAGUGAAAGCCCAGGGCUCAACCCUGGAACUGCUUUCAAAACUGUAGGACUCGAAUUCGGGAGAGGAUAGCGGAAUUUCCAGUGUAGUAGUGAAAUACGUAGAUAUUGGAAGGAACACCAGUGGCGCAAGCGGCUAUCUGGACCGACAUUGACGCUGAGGCACGAAAGCGUGGGGAUCAAACAGG
rnacentral:rRNA from 1 species